rnacentral:rRNA from 1 species
GAUGAACGCUAGCGGCAGGCUUAACACAUGCAAGUCGAGGGGUAGAGGAAGCUUGCUUCCUUGAGACCGGCGCACGGGUGCGUAACGCGUAUACAAUCUACCUUUUACAGAGGGAUAGCCCCAGAGAAAAUUUGGAUUAAUACCUCAUAGUAUUUUCGGAUCGCAUGAUUUGAUUAUUAAAGUUCCAACGGUAAAGAUGAGUAUGCGUCCCAUUAGCUAGAUGGUAAGGUAACGGCUUACCAUGGCAAUGAUGGGUAGGGGUCCUGAGAGGGAGAUCCCCCACACUGGUACUGAGACACGGACCAGACUCCUACGGGAGGCAGCAGUGAGGAAUAUUGGACAAUGGGCGCAAGCCUGAUCCAGCCAUGCCGCGUGCAGGAUGACGGUCCUAUGGAUUGUAAACUGCUUUAUAC